GGGGCUGUGGUUCAGUGGUAGAGCACUUGCCUUGCAUGUGUGAGGCACUGGGUUCGAUUCUCAGCACCA
rnacentral:tRNA from 1 species